rnacentral:rRNA from 1 species
CCUACGGGUGACAGCAGUGGGGAAUAGUGCACAAUGGGGGAAACCCUGAUGCAGCAACGCCGCGUGAGUGAAGAAGGUUUUCGGAUGGUAAAGCUCUGUUAGCAGGGAAGAGGAAGGACGGGACCGGCAGAGGAAGCGACGGCUAACUACGUGCCAGCAGCCGCGGGAAUACGUAGGUGGCAAGCGUUGUUCGGAAUAACUGGGCGUAAAGGAUGCGUAGGCGGUUAAACAAGUUAUAUGUUAAAUAUAUCGGCUUAACCUGUAGAAAGCAUAUAAAACUGUUUAACUAGAGUGCAGGAGAGUUCAGUGGCCUUCCUAGUGUAGCGGUUACAUGCGUCGCGCUUCGGCAGCACACCAGUGGCGACGGCGACUUACUGGACUGUACCUGACGCUGAGGCAUG